rnacentral:rRNA from 1 species
UACGAAGGGGGCUAGCGUUGUUCGGAAUCACUGGGCGUAAAGGGCGCGUAGGCGGCCGAUCAAGUCGGGGGUGAAAGCCUGUGGCUCAACCACAGAAUGGCCUUCGAUACUGUUUGGCUUGAGACCGGAAGAGGUCAGUGGAACUGCGAGUGUAGAGGUGAAAUUCGUAGAUAUUCGCAAGAACACCAGUGGCGAAGGCGGCUGACUGGUCCGGUUCUGACGCUGAGGCGCGAAAGCGUGGGGAGCAAACAGG